rnacentral:rRNA from 1 species
UUGAACGCUGGCGGCAGGCCUAACACAUGCAAGUCGAGCGCGAAAGUUCUUCGGAAUGAGUAAAGCGGCGGACGGGUGAGUAACGCGUGGGUAUCUGCCUAGUAGUGGGGGACAACAGCCGGAAACGGCUGCCAAUACCGCAUACGCCCUACGGGGGAAAGGGGGGGAUCUUCGGACCUCUCGCUAUUAGAUGAGCCCGCGUCGGAUUAGCUAGUUGGUAGGGUAAAGGCCUACCAAGGCUACGAUCCGUAACUGGUCUGAGAGGAUGAUCAGUCACACUGGAACUGAGACACGGUCCAGACUCCUACGGGAGGCAGCAGUGGGGAAUAUUGGACAAUGGGGGCAACCCUGAUCCAGCCAUGCCGCGUGUGUGAAGAAGGCCUUAGGGUUGUAAAGCACUUUCAGUGGGGAGAAAGGUUUGUCACCUAAUACGUGAUGAAAUUGAUGUUACCCACAGAAGAAGCACCGGCUAACUCCGUGCCAGCCGCCGCGGUAA